AAUACAUCGGAAUCUGCCUUGUUGUGGGGGAUAACGUAGGGAAACUUACGCUAAUACCGCAUAAGACCGUAAGGUGAAAGCGGGGGACCGAAAGGCCUCGCGCGACAAGAUGAGCCGAUGUCGGAUUAGCUAGUUGGUGAGGUAAUGGCUCACCAAGGCGACGAUCCGUAGCUGGUCUGAGAGGAUGAUCAGCCACACUGGAACUGAGACACGGUCCAG
rnacentral:rRNA from 1 species